rnacentral:rRNA from 1 species
CCCUUAGAUGUUCUGGGCUGCACGCGCGCUACACUGACGCACGCAACAGGUGCCUGCUCCGAGAGGACUGGGUAAUCAUUUGAGUGUGCGUCGUGAUGGGGAUAGAAUAUUGUAAUUAUUACUCUUCAACGAGGAAUUCCUAGUAAGCGCCAGUCAGCAGCUUGCGCUGAUUACGUCCCUGCCCUUUGUACACACCGCCCGUCGCUCCUACCGAUUGGAUGGUCCGGUGAAGCCUCGGGAUUGUGGUUCUUGCCGCUUUAUUGUGGCGUGACCGCGAGAACUUGUCUAAACCUUAUCAUCUAGAGGAAGGUGAAGUCGUAACA